rnacentral:lncRNA from 1 species
GCAAUUACAGGGUUGAUUGUAUAUGCGUGUCUGUGUUAUAUAUAUUUUUUAUACUUUUACACUACAUCUACUUUGCAAAUCCUUGUGGCACCUCUCUCGCUAAAAGAAAAAUAUGGAGGGGCACCUCCUGCAGUCCUGCCGACCACCCGUACUGAAACCGACGCGCGGCGCGCCCACGGCCGCUGCGGCCGACACCUGACGGCUGACGCGCUAACGCCUGGCUGGUGCUNN